CGCUGAAAGCAUCUAAGUGUGAAACCUUCUUCAAGAUAAGGUCUCGAUCCCGCAAGGGUGAAGUCCCGUGGAAGACUACCACGUUGAUAGGCUGGAGGUGUAAGAGCAGAGAUGUUCUGAGCUGACCAGUACUAACGGACAAACGCUUGACCAC
rnacentral:rRNA from 1 species